rnacentral:rRNA from 1 species
CGUACACUCCUGCGGGAGGCAGCAGUGGGGAAUAUUACACAAUGGGCGCAAGCCUGAUGCAGCCAUGCCGCGUGUAUGAAGAAGGCCUUCGGGUUGUAAAGUACUUUCAGCGGGGAGGAAGGCGAUAAGGUUAAUAACCUUGUCGAUUGACGUUACCCGCAGAAGAAGCACCGGCUAACUCCGUGCCAGCAGCCGCGGUAAUACGGAGGGCGCAAGCGUUAAUCGGAAUUACUGGGCGUAAAGCGCACGCAGGCGGUCUGUCAAGUCGGAUGUGAAAUCCCCGGGCUCAACCUGGGAACUGCAUUCGAAACUGGCAGGCUAGAGUCUUGUAGAGGGGGGUAGAAUUCCAGGUGUAGCGGUGAAAUGCGUAGAGAUCUGGAGGAAUACCGGUGGCGAAGGCGGCCCCCUGGACAAAGACUGACGCUCAGGUGCGAAAGCGUGGGGAGCAAACAGGAUUAGAAACCCCUGUAGUCCCA